UACGUAGGGUGCAAGCGUUGUCCGGAAUUAUUGGGCGCAAAGAGCUUGUAGGCGGUCUGUCGCGUCUGCUGUGAAAAUCCGGGGCUCAACCCCGGACUUGCAGUGGGUACGGGCAGACUAGAGUGUGGUAGGGGAGACUGGAAUUCCUGGUGUAGCGGUGAAAUGCGCAGAUAUCAGGAGGAACACCGAUGGCGAAGGCAGGUCUCUGGGCCACUACUGACGCUGAGAAGCGAAAGCAUGGGGAGCGAACAGG
rnacentral:rRNA from 1 species